rnacentral:lncRNA from 1 species
UAUUAUAACACAAAAUCAUAUGAAAAGUUUUUAAUUUAUAAAUUAUAAAGUUAAAACUUCAAUUUUUUAUUGUUAUUAUAAAAAUGGCAUGUGGCCACACACCAUAAGUGGGAUAAUGAAAAGUCCCACUUUAACGAAAUAAAGCAUACGAUGGACAUUGGCAAAUGUUUUAUGAAAUUCCUGAGCACGAUGGAGGUGGAAGGAGAUGGAGUUGUGGAUUUCUUGGAGGUUGGAGAUAAAUGCCUCAGAGCGGGG